GCUCUUGUGAGGUCAUCAGCUGGUUAGGGAGGACCUCCAGCCUUCUGACUCCUUAGACAAGCCUCAUUGCUUCCCCCCUAGUCUAAAGAGGGCUCCAGGUUAGCCAGAUGCUCUGUAUAAUACAUUCCAGCAAUAAUAGUCUUGAGUCUGUGGUUUGUAGGGACCAUGAAGAACUUGUAAAAAACAUUUCAAAGCAAACUUUAUAGCUGAGGUUGAGAGAAAAAAUUUGAAGUGAAACUUGCCUUUCUUUAGAGUGAGCUUCAGAUCUGUAGCCCAGAGACAACAGAUUAAUUCUCUCCCCCUUGUAUAUUCUUCUGUGGCCUCUCAGAGACAAUGACUGGAAGUUGGAUCACAGCUUGGUUGUUACCAGAGAAGAGCUAAACGGUUUUAAUCCUGCUUAAGAAAAGAUUGAAUAUGGGAGGAAUGAAAACCCUCACUGUUUUGACAAAGAGUUCAAUGAGAAAUGCAAACAACCACUGUGAAUGAGCCCCUGUGACAACUUGAAAUAAAAGCAGAUGCACGGUUAGUCAAUCCUGGGAAUGGUUGAUUUGCAGACUGGGUUUUCUCACACAGGUGGUGUCAGCAGUCUUCAUACUUUUCAAGGAUCCUCAUCAAACUGGUUGCUUUUGGCUCUGUUUUUCAACCAAGGGUAUCUUCAGCUGCCAACCUUUCAUCAGAGGUCAAGGUUCUGAGCUGGCUUAGGACAAGGAAAUGGAGACCAAUCUAGAUUAAGCAAGCUGCCACAUUUAUUGAAGUCUGCAGAGGAGGAAAAAACAAGCACUGUCAGAUGUUCCCUGGGAUUCAAAGACCUGGUUUUGACACAGCGAUCACGUGUCAUAGGAUCACAAGCAAUAGUGAAGAUCACCUAUUUGGAGUCUCUGUGCUACAGUGCCCAGAAAGACACUACUAGUAUAUGAACAGGACCAGUUCCACUCUGUGAUUUGUAUGGCUAGAAGGGGAUUAUACAACUUACCAGGGAGGAAUUAGAGGCAAGGAGGAGCUGAGGCAUCUCCAUCUUACCUCAGAGUUUUGGCCGUUCUUGUACAGUUCAGGCAAUGCCAGGAGUGUUUCUGCAGAGAUGUCUUUAUCGAGGACUCCAAAGAUGAGAGGAGGCAAGGAGGUGAAGAAGAGAUUGAAGAAUAUCAUCUGCCAAUAAUCGAUCAUAGUGGAGCCAGAGAAGCCACAGAAAAACUGGUACCAGAAAAGCAGGUUGACAUAGCACUGCAGGCAGAGAGUAUGUCCUGGUGACCAGUGGGAAGUUUCCUGGCACUGAAAGAGAUCCUGGUGUCCUGAGACAUUCUAGACCUUGCAUCUCUCUCUUAGAAGUGGGGAGAGGGCCCAGUCUGUUUACUGUGCUGCAGCUCAAGUGCCAACCCUUCCAGUAAGCCCUUCUGAGGCCUCAUCUGAUGUAGGUGGACCUCUUCUUGGCUCCUCCUGCACCUCUGCACCCAUCUACCCAGCAGCAAGAGGAGCAUUCUGUAGGCACUGACAGGUGGGAGAGGCCAUGCCCACAAGAAGGAAGUGGUGGUGCCAUCUGGAGGAACCUAAGUGGCCCCAAUGCAAAUUUCAUGAUUAGGAAGAUAUUCUUUGGUCUGAUGGUUCUGGAAAACCUU